UGACUGCAAGAGCGAUCGAUCCCACAUCAGGCGCUUGCUGUUUGAUCAUCAUGUUGGUCUGGGCAACACUUACAUGAGGUGAAGUUGAACUGCCUGACGCUGCCAACACCGCCGUCGCCCUCCACGGGAUGGGCGCUUGUGACGACGUGAGAGGCGACCUUGGGCGCCAGGUUGUGCCAGUCCAUCACGGCGGCGCGGAACAGGCGCGGCGCGGCCACCGGCGACGGGAUCUCUAGGGUCCAGCUGUUGGAAGCCAUGCUGGUGGUGGUCUGGGAUGAGCUUUGGCUCGGUGCCUAGGCCUAGUUUGAUACUAGUAGCUGGAGCUGCUGCUUGUGUUGCUGGAACGAGCGGCAACAAGGUAUUUAAAUAGAGUGCGGUGAGCGCGGGGUUGGUGACGCUUUGCCCGGUUGGUGUCCGGUGGUGACUGGUGAGGGCCUCAAGUUGCUGGGCGAGUCGUCGGGCUUUUCCACAAUGGAUGGCUCUGUCGGUCGAGUGAGCUUUUAGUAAGGCGGGCGUCGAAACACACGUCUUGCACGGUCUUUGUCAAAACACGAGGAUAUAUUCGAGGAGUAUGUUGACGGAAUUGGCGCCACCUUCCGCUUGCACAAUUUGGUCUUUGGUAUAUAAAAGUAGUAUGUAAUGACUGUCAGAGUUCUAGAUAUUUGACUGCAUGUCUGCAUGCUAGGAUAACUUCCAUUCUAGAACGAUAUGAGGCCCUUGACUAACAUGAAUACAUCAUCUUUUGAAUUUAGACAUGAGAAGACUUAAAUUUUGUUUGACAUAACUCAACUUUAUUUUUGAAACUGCUUUUUUUAAAUAGCUCUACGUGCAACUUUCUCGGUAUUAAAAAGUUAUUUUAUAAAAUAGCUUCACUAACAACUUUAUGUAUGGUUGAGAGAGAGAAAUGAAAGAGCGCUUUGAAAAGUUAUUUUUAGCUCUAUUUUUCUGUGAGAGCAUAAAAAAGGUGUUUGACAAAAAACAACAACAACUCACAACAGCUCAUGAAGUUGUUGGUUAAACCGUGUCACAUAGAGCCUCACUUGCUGUCGACGAAAGCUGGUCGGCAGUCUACCUUGGGGUAUACCCACGGUAGUAGUUUAUUGGUAGACGGUGCGCAAACUACGAACUCGACGGUGACGCAAGACUCGGACAAGCUUUUUAUCCAGGUUCGGCCGCCGAGUUGGCGUAAUACCUACGUCCUGCGUCUGGUUGUAUUGAUUUGUGUUGAGAGAAUAUCCUGUCCUAGGGGGGUCCCUUGCCCCUCCUUAUAUAGUCUGGAGGGCAGGGUUACAGAUCUGGAAACUAAUCCUAGUCGGUUACAAUUGUCAUAGAUAGUUCGAUAUCAAUUCCUAUUCUAACCGACUAGAAUCCUGCUUGAUCUCCACAUCUUGCUUCCUUGCGCGAAACCCCAUGCUGUCGGAUCAAGCCUUGAACUCGUCUCGUAAUGGGCCAAGCCUCCUGGCCCAAGUCUAGCCAUAAGGGUAUAGGGGUCUAUCCCCCCACACUUGCUGACAGUGAUGCCACCUUUUUCUUCUUAUCUCAUCCCUUAUGGAUCUUUUAUGAGAAACAUCUUGUUUAAUUUAUAAAAAAACUACCCUUUUUUUAAGUGACUCCUUCUUGCUCUAGCGAGAUCUUUUACCGUUGUCGAAAUGGUAACAUGAUGUACCACUCAACAUGCAUGAGAGGUAAACCACGGUACCUUUAGGACUAAUAGUUUUGACACCUACAGUACCAAACUCAAGUUAUAUAGUUUUGAUAACUUACCAAGGAUAAUAAAAAAAAACUCCUUACAAAUGCCUUCUAUGGCUUCUUAUAGGCACUUGUUAUGAUAUAAGGACACAACUAUGACAAUUAAGGAAUGGUGGGCAUCCUUAUUGAAGGUCCAUUUGGACUUUGGAUGCAAGGGGUAAUUGGUAGUUAGCUAAGAAUUAGCUCCCGUGUAUCUAAAUAGGAAUAUAUGUGCUAAUUUUUUAAUUAGCCAAGUUUUCAGCUAGUCGUUAGGCAAAUAGCUAGCCAACUAUAAACUAAUUUAGACUAAUUUUUAGCCCCAACUAAUAACUAGUGUAUCCAAAUAGAGUAGAAUUGUAAAAGAGAACGAUGGUAGUUCUAGUGUACUAUUUUUAGGAUGUCUACAAAUAACAAAAUAGAAGGGCUUUGCACGGAAAGAUGAAUUGACUCUAAAAAAGAAGGCUUGUGGCAAACCUAGUUUAGGCUUUUCAUUUCGCUGAAAAUACACUGAAAAGUACUGUUCACUGAUUUGUUGUGAGAGAAAAAUCCUGUAUCAUGACUGAUAAAUCUAAUGUCAUUGUUGUAUUCUUUUGUAACUUAAAUUUGCAAAAAUCUACAUUUUCUUUCUUUUUUAAAAGAAAAUGGACAGACAAGAGAGCUACCUUUUAUAUAGUACAGUCAGGCUUCUCCUUACGUGACCUGUCAUUUCUUAAAAAGAAAUGCAAGCUCGGUUGAUAAGGGUUUAGCCGUUUGAGGCCGCCGUUGAGCAUCACUUUUGUCUAAACUCAGAAAAUGAACUAAAAGCUGCUGUGAAGAGAUUUCGUGGCUUAUGAUUUGUUCUGGAAGCUAAAAAAAUAUUACAAAAUUCAAUAAUGAAAAUACAACAGUCAGAAGCCACAAAAUCAGCUUUUAUGUCAAAAGUACAAAAGAUACCGCUCAAACAAACAAGCCCUUAAAUGUCUUCUUCUCCCAGCUCUCUAGUGAACGCUAUAGCUCUUGGAGCUUUCAUAUUUUCCAUAAUAAUUUUAAACACUCUACCAAUAUCUACUGAAAAUGUAUCGAAAAAAUCAAAAUAUCUAUUAGAAAUGAGCAAAAUUAUCGGUCAAACUUGCAUAGAAUUCGAAAACAAAAUGCCCCUAUUCUUCCCACACAUAAAACCAUUGUAUACCCAUUUUCUGUCCCUUCUUCUUUCAAGAAAGUCAUUGUAUACCCAAAUAGUUUUCCAUCCGCCCUAUUUAUAGUCCAGUUUAUCCAGUUUUUGGUAAAACCUAGCCUAGCCCGUAGGAUUUAUCUACAACAGUUUCUAACCCACAGGUACCAGCGGUUUCCCUCCUGAUCUUCCCCAAUCGCCCACUUGCAACACCACGUUGCUCAUUGUUAACUUACUCUCCACGGACCUGUCCGCUCGUCGCGCUCGCCUCGAGCCGUCCGUGCGCUCUGGAGAUCCUAACUUUAUAUAUGGCCAUGCAGCCCAUGGCCCGGUGGCCCGGCCCAUGGCCUGACGAUUUGGCACGGCCCGAGGGACCCUGCCUAGGCCACCACCUAUGCACGCGACAUGGCCCAAGCAUGGCUUUAUCCAACGGUUGGCCCGGUAGCGGCUCGGUGAAAAUAAACUGUUGUGUAGUUGUGACUUAUAUAUAUAUGUGCCGUUAAUUGUUAUAUUGGAGAAAAUGAUGAACAAUUGGUGAAAAUGAUAAAGUGUUUUAGCACUUAGUGAAAAUGUUAAUGAAAAUGAACUGUUUUCGGCUAAACGGGUCGUGGGCUGGCACAAUACGAGAAAAACGCCAUGCUUGACGGGCCGACACGACACGAAAACCGGCCCAUAGGCCGUGCCUUAGGCCGAAGGCUAUGCAUGAAGUCCAUGGAGGCACGACCCGCAGCACGACACUGCAUGACGUUGGACAUAUAUAAUCCUAAAGCAGGACGAUUAGAAGGAAGAAGAUGGGGGUCUCCACCUGUCGUGCAGUGGAAUUCUCGUGCCUCCCCGUGCAUGGCCACGGUGCCACCAUUGACCACACGAGCGCGGCGUGGUGUGCGUCCGAAGAUGUUGUGGCUGGCGUUGAAGACAACCUCGAAGUUGUGCCUCUGUCCUCCAUUGGUGCCCAUGGGUACGCUGUUGAGCGGCGCUGGUGCCCCCUUCGUCGGCACGGGAGGAAGAACACGACCAAGUUUAACGAGUUGAGUGGUGUGGAAACGUCGCAAACCAACACGCGUGGUUUCUCCUGACACGGUUUACCGUGGGCUGAUUCACGGGUACACGGUUAGUAUACAUAUAUAUAGGGGGUGUUUGGUUCAAAAAAUGCAAAUGUCAAUUACUUUGUAAUGAUGGAAUGUAAAAGGUCAAACUUUUCAUGGUUAUGUUUAGUAAUGCAGAAUUUAUUGUCUUUAUAAGGGCCUCUUGAGGUUCUUUUGGUGUGUUUUUUUGCCUCUUGAGGUCAAAAUCUAAAAUAAAGAAUAAUUAUUUUUUUGCUAAAAAUUUUGCAUGCUGUUUAGUUAUAUUAUACAGAACAAUGGACCAAAACCAAGAAUUUUUUAGAAUAGCAGGGGAAAACACCCAUAAUCGCACAACGACAGCAUGCUACAUACCACUCAUAACAUCUCAAGUCCACACACCGCACACUGCUUAGAGCAGCUUUAUUUAUUUUGUACGAAAAAAGGAACAUGAAAGAAAAAAAAUCCAGUCUCUGAAUAUAUCAAAACAUGUAUAAGACCACCCGUGAAGUGCAAUCGCAUCCCCAUCCACAGAUUUAGUUGUAGGCGUCGGGGUUGGCGACGAGGUAGGCCUCGGCACCCUUGAAGAUGGCGGUGACUGCCUCCUUGGCCUUGACUUCCUCGCCCUUCACGUCCACACCCGGCAGCAGCUUGUAGGUCGACUCCACCUUCACCACGCUGCCGCCGCCGGCCGCGGGCUCCACCUUGAUGUGCGACGCCGCGGUCUCGACGGCCACGCCGAUGCCGCCUCCCUCGACGAGCGUCGACUUGCACUCGCACUUGUCCAUGUCCAGGGACUCGAGCUUCUCCUUCAUGAAGCUGAAUGGCAUGACUGCAAGAGCGAUCGAUCCCACGUCAGGCGCUAGCUGUUUGAUCGAUGAUCAAGCGAGAGAACAUCAUGUUGGUCUGGGCAACACUUACAUGAGGUGAAGUUGAACUGCCUGACGCUGCCAACACCGCCGUCGCCCUCCACGGGAUGGGCGCUUGUGACGACGUGAGAGGCGACCUUGGGCGCCAGGUUGUGCCAGUCCAUCACGGCGGCGCGGAACAGGCGCGGCGCGGCCACCGGCGACGGGAUCUCGAGGGUCCAGCUGUUGGAAGCCAUGGCUGGUGGUCUGCGAUGAGCUUUGGCUCGGUGCCUAGCUAGGUCUAGUUUGAUUAGCUGAUGCAAGUAGGUGGAGCUGCUGCUUGUGUUGCUGGAACGAGCGGCAAAAAGGGAUUUAAAUAGAGUGCGAUGAGCGCGGGGUUGGUGACGCUUUGCCCCGUUGGUGUCCGGUGGUGACUGGUGAGGCCUGAAAGUUGCUGGGCGAGUCGUCGCGCUUUUCCACAAUGGAUGGCUCUCCGUCGGUCGAGUGAGCUUUAUUAAUAAGGCGGGCGUCCAAAACACACGUCGUUGUCGCACACUCUUUGUCAAAACACGAGGAUAUAUUCGAGGAAUAUGUUGACCGAAUUGGCGGCUUGCCGCCACCUUCCGCUUGCACAAAUUGGUCUAGGUCUUAAAAACAAGCCAUGUAUGUCACAUUUGGUUGGUAUAUACAAGUAGUAUGUAAUGACUGUCAGAGUUCUAGAUAUUUGACUGCAUGGAUGUCUGCAUGCUGGAUAACUUCCAUUCUAGAACGAUAUGCCUUGACUAACAUGAAUUCAUCAUCUUUUGAAUUUAGACAUGAGAGGACUUAAGUUCCGUUUGACACAACUCAGUUUUAUUAUCGAAGCUGUUUCUUUAGAUAGCUUUAUGAGUAACUUUCUUGGCUGAGCUAUUUUAGAAAAUCAUUUUGUAAAAUAGUUUCACUAACAACUUUAUGCAUGGUUGAGAGGGGAAAAUGAGAGAGCUUUUUGAAAAGUUGUUUUUUAGUUCUACUUUUCCGUGGGAGCAUAAAAAAGGUGUUUGACAAAAGAAAAGAGUAAAGUCCAUCACCAGUCUCUAAACUUGUUUAGGUAUAUCAUCCCGGUCUCUAACUCGCAAAACGAUCGUUUAGGUACCUAAACUUGUUCGGCUAUAUCACUCUGGUCCCUAAACUUGGAAAUCUCAUAUAUAGGCCUUCAAACUUGUUUAGUUGUGUCAUCCCAGUCCCUAAACUUGUUUUUAAGUCUCGUCUGGUUCAAAACGGAACGAAUCUAAAAACUCUAUAAAUAACUCAUAACUUUUUCAUAUAAACUCAAAUAAAGAUAAACUUUAUAUUAAAAUUAUAGCCAACAAUGUGAUCUACAACUUUGUAGUUAAAAAGUUUUUAAACUAAAAUAAUUUAGGGUCUCAUUUUUUUGUAAGUUUAUUAAAUUUUGUGACACUAAAUGACUUCAAAUAAAAAACUUUUCAACUACAAAGUUAUAGAUCACAUUGAAGGCUACAACUUUAAUAUAAAGUUUGUUUUCAUUCAAGUUUAUAUGAAAACGUUAUGAAUUAUUUUUCUAUAUAGAGUUUUUAGAUCGCUUUGUUUUGACCCAGGUGAGACUCAAGACCAAGUUUAGGGACUGAGAUGACACAACUGAAUAAAUUUAAGGACCUAAAUGGGUAAUUUCUAAGUUUAGAAACCAGGAUGACACAUCUGAACAAGUUUAGAGACCGGAAUGAUAUAGACAAACAAGUUUAAUGACCUAAAUGAUCAAUUUAUGAGUUUAGGGACCGAUCGAGGUGAUACAACAGGUGGUGGAUUUUACUAUAAAAACUCACAACAACUCAUGAAGUUGUUGAUGAAGCUGUGCCAAAUAAGGCCUCACUUGCUGACGGUGUUGUCACCCUUUUCUUCUUAUCUCACCCUUUACAGAUCUUUUACAAGAAACAUCUUGUAAACAAAUCGUUGUCACCCUUUUUUUUUUGUUGAGUGACCCCUUCUCGCUCUAGCAAGAUCUUUUGCCGUUCUUCAAAUGGUAACAUGAUGUACCACUCAACAUGCAUGGGAGGUAAAAAAAAUGGUACCUAGGUACUAAUACUUUUGAUAGCUACAGUACCAAACUCAAGUUAUAUAUAGUUUUGAUACCUUACCAACGAUAAAAAAACUCCUUACAAAUGACUUCUAUGGCUUCUUAUAGACACUAGUUGCUAUAUGAUAUAAGGACACAACUAUGACAAUUAAGGAGUGGUGGGGUCUUUAUUAAAGGUUUGUUUGGACUUUGGAUACAAGGCGUAAUUGCUAGUUAGCUAAGAACUAGCUCGUGUAUCUAAAUAUGAGAGUUAAUAGGUGAGUUACUUUUAUAGUCAUUUUUUUUACUAGUCGUUAGUCAACAACCAGUAACUAGCCAUGUGUAUCUAAAUCUCCUACAACUAAAAAGAACAAAACGUGGAUACUUUUUGGUGCGACAUUCUAACGUGGGCCCAUAGUCCUGCCUGCUGCGUUCCCGUGGCCACUCUACAUCGUGCAUGACAUCCCUUGCGAUAUUCAAUUCAAAUCAAGAAUCGAUAUGUCAGGUUCCAGUUUUUAUACGAUUGCCAUAUGAAGCCUUUCCGCCAAAAGCCGUCCGACCACGGUGAAACAAAAAUAAUAAUAAAAUCUGCCCCAAUUCACGGACGGGUGACCAACGUGGCCAUGCAUGAAAGAAAUCGUCUAAAAAAUACUCAACUUUCCAUCUCUUCCGCUCCCUUUUCUUGAGAAAAAUGGUCAACCAUCGUGCAACUAAUCAGGAGACCAUCCCACCGAUCCCGCGUGCACAGCUGGCGGAAGCCCCUCGCGCGGUCACAAUCUCUCCUCAAUCAUGCACGGACAUCGCGUUCCUUAGGCAAAAGCAGAAAUUCCUCUCGAUCAUGCGCCGCCGCAACGAAACAUCUUCCUUUCCUGCCCGACGCCCUCGCUCUCGGUGCUUGGAGAGAUCGAGCCGAGCAUACCGGCUUCCCCUGAAGGCUUGAGACGGACACAGUUGACUGCUUCUUCGUCAUUGAUUGUCGCCAGCAACUGCGCCCUUGGCAUCGGUGUGGCCUUGCAAGAUUGGAUCUUUUUGUUUUCAUCCCAAUCAUCGCCAUGGCGGCCUCCUCCCCCUGAACGAUGAACGCAGCUGCUUCGUCAUUGAUGAUCAGCUUCUGACCCUUCACCAAUCUCUAUCCCCUAUUAUUUGUUCCAUCAUCUGUUCCACUUUCCACGAUUGAUUCAGUACUGGUGUUGCAAACUUAUUUCGAUUCUCAAAAAGCGAACAACCUGAUCGGUUUGGUAAGCAUCUUUCUAUUCCAGGCUAUCGAAGCUCUCAUUAAGCUUUUUGAUUCAGUUUGUGCCAAAGGUACGUUCUUGGCAAAUGCGAGCUGGCACCAUGAAGCAAAUUAUAGCUAUUGGAGUCCAGUAGAUAAUAUCUUGUGUGAUCUCCUUGUUCUUAAAUAGUGUAAUUUAAGAAAAAACUUAUUCAUGUUUGUUCUCUUCGACCUUUUUAGAUACAAGACACAGAUUAUUAUAUUGAUAUCAUAAUUGGUUGUGGCAUUGAGGUGUGUAAAUUUAUGCUUUUCUCUUUUCUGUCGGUGUUUAAACUCUCUUCUGAAUUCAUGCCAUCCAUUGACUCCAGGUGAGAAACACCUCCUGUUGUUUAAUUGUUUUUUUGCUCUUGCUUUCAGUAUGAAUAGUCAAAUAUAGUCAAAACAAUAACCUGGUUCAGUAGUAAUAAGGAAUCAAGCUAUUGCAACACUUCUUGUCAAAAAAAUGCAGCACUUCUAGAGUUGCUACGGGUUUUAAAAUUCUCACUUGCUGCACAUUAGGAGACGAAAUUCUUGGUUUCAGUUAGCAGAGUGACACUUAUCACUGUUAUCUAUAAGGCAAAUCUAACAACAUAGCACAGAUUGUGGACAUCAGUUUUUUUUUAGAAAGUGGACAUUGUGGGCGGCUGAGCGGGCACCUACGGGUGGGCGCGGCCGGCGUCAUGGCCAGCUCUGGGCGGGCGCGGGGUGGGGGAGGGGGGUGAUCAAGGCUGAAUCACAGGAAGGUUUCCUUUUAGGUGCUGUUAGCUUGGUUGGCUAAUCCCACACGCUUGAGGAGUUGCCUCUAGGAGGGGGCUGAAAUCACUUGGAGUUUCUUUUGAAUAUCGCAACGGGUGGAAAUAUUGAUCACGAAAAAAGUGGAAACAAAUAGCACCUUGGCUCUUUCCUUUUGAAUAUAGCAAAGGAUGCUGUAGGUGGGCGACGACGUUGUAGGCUCACAAAAUCACUGUCGUUUGCAAUAACAAAUACCUAUGAUUUAACUAUUUCUAUAUAUUGCUGAUCAUGAAUCUUCCUACAGGUACUUAAGUGGAUUUCUCAUCCUACAAUAUAUGUCUACAUGGAAUAGACCAAAAGCCACACAUAUUUAUACAGUGAGUCUAACACUUUGUCUAAGUUUUUGUAAAAGUUUUUUAACAAAAUAUAGUAUUACCCAUGCGACACACACUAAUAUUUACAUAUAUAUACUCGAAUGUGUGACAGGAUGGUACGAAGAUGCGGCAGAAUUUAUUUGUGGAUUUACUGGCACAUGAAAGAAAUGGAUAUCCGAGAUAUCUUCCCGUCGAUAUUAAACAUUAUCUUAGCCGUAUCACGGAAAGGUCUAUAAAGUAGAGUUUGUGAGCCUACAACGUCGUGCUCUUCGUGACUGUGUUUGAUUUCACAAACAUUGCGAUCCUACAAUGUCAUUUUCAAGUUGUUAUUUAAGUAGAAGAUUCUAAUAUUAUUAUCUUGUUAUGCGAUCUAUGUAUUUUAAAUAAAAAAUGUUAGCUAUCCCGUAGCAACGCACGGGCAUGCUAUCUAGUAGAGUAGAAUUGUAAAAGAGAACAAUGGUAAUUCUAGUGUACUAUUCUUGAGAUGUCUAGAAAUAACAAAAUAGAAGGGCUUUGCACGGAAAGAGGAAUGUACUGUGAAAAACAUGGCAUAACUUAUGCCGAGGCUGUUCGUUCCGUUAAAAAAAUAAGUUGAAAAGAAAGUAAUGUUCACUAAUUUAUUGUGUGAGAAAAAUAUUGUAUCAUAGCUGAUAAGUCUGUAGUGUCAUUGUUAUAUUCGUUUGUAACAUAAAUUUGCAAAACUCUACAUUUAACAUUUUCUCUUUUUUUUAGAAAAAAAUGGACAGACACGAGAGCUACCUUUUAUAUAGUACAGUCAGGCUUCUCCUUACGUGAUUGAGCAAAGCUCGGUUGAGCAAACAAGGAUGACACAUCUGAACAAGUUUAGAGACCGGAAUGAUAUAGACAAACAAGUUUAAUGAUCUAAAUGAUCAAUUUAUGAGUUUAGGGACCGAGAUGAUACGACAGGUGAUGGAUUUUACUAAAAAAACUCACAACAACUCAUAAAGUUGUUGAUGAAGCUGUGCCAAAUAAGGCCUCACUUGCUGAUGGUGUUUUCACCCUUUUCUUCUUAUCUCACCUUUUACAGAUCUUUUACAAGAAACAUCUUGUAAACAAAUGGCUUAACUCUUUUUGUUGAGUGACCCCUUCUCGCUCUAGCAGGAUCUUUUGCCGUUCUUCAAAUGGUAACAUGAUGUACCACUCAACAUGCAUGGGAGGUAAAAAAAUGGUACCUAGGUACUAAUACUUUUGAUAGCUACAGUACCAAACUCAAGUUGUAUAUAGUUUUGAUACCUUACCAACGAUAAAAAAACUCCUUACAAAUGACUUCUAUGGCUUCUUAUAGACACUAGUUGCUAUGAUAUAAGGACACAACUAUGACAAUUAAGGAGUGGUGGGGUCUUUAUCAAAGGUUUGUUUGGACUUUGGAUACAAGGCGUAACUGCUAGUUAGCUAAGAACUAGCUCGUGUAUCUAAACAUGGGAGUUAAUAGGUGAGUUACUUUUAUAGUCAUUUUUUUGACUAGUCGUUAGUCAACAACCAGUAAUGUGGGGGUAUAAACCCCUAUACCCUUACGGCUAGACUUCGGCCAGGAGGCUUGGCCCAUUACGAGACGAGUCCAAGGCUUGAUCCGACAACCUGGAGUUUCGCGCAAGGAAACAAGAUGUGGAGAUCAAGCAGGAUUCUAGUCGGUUAGAAUAGAAAUUGAUAUCGAAUUAUCCAUGACAAUUGUAACCGACUAGGGUUAGUUUCCGGAUCUGUAACCCUGCCCUCCAGACUAUAUAAGGAGAGGCAAGGGACCCCCCUAGGACAUCAUAUUCUCUCAACACAAAUCAAUACAACCAGACGCAGGACGUAGGUAUUACGCCAACUCGGCGGCCGAACCUGGAUAAAAAGCUUGUCCGUGUCUUGCGUCACCAUCGAGUUCGUAGUUUGCGCACCGUCUACCGAUAAACUACUACCGUGGGUAUACCCCAAGGUAGACUGCCGACUAGCUUUCGUCGACAGUGGCGCGCCAGGUAGGGGGUGUGCGUGCAACUUUUCCGGCGAACAAGAUGGUCACGAUCCCAGCUUCCGCGACCGUGCCCGAAGGCCUCACGUUCACCGUCGGCCAGAUCACGUGGACGGCGUGCAGCGGCGGCUUCACGACCACGGUUUCGGAAGAGAUCCAGAUCCAAUCUGAGUUCACGCCGUCUCCGACCACACGCAUGACGGCACCAAGCGCCCGACCACCGUUCCCACUCUACAAGGGAAAGGAGAUCGACUGCUCGGACCUUCUCCAAGCGCUUGAUCGCGCUGACUCCAAGCUACUCGAAGUUUCCCAACUAAUAGAUGGAGUUCUGCGUCGGCCCGACCAAGCUGCUCCAGCGGAUUUUUUCAAAUCCCGCCGGCCAACUCGUGUCGCCACACACGAACGGCUGGGAACGUCUCUGACGAUAACCUCAACCCCCUCAGGACGAUCCGUCCAGCUCAAGAAGGAAGACUAUCCUUGCGGCCUGAACAACUCGACCUCUGUUUACUCACGGCACACCCAAUCCGUUUUCAGCAAGGCGGGUUGGUCGCCGACAACGAACAAUCGUCACCACGUCAACAUGGUGACAAUCCGAGAACUACGGGACGGCCAGGCUUCCAGCACCAACUCAAGCACCGGCUCCGUCCCCACCGAGGUUAUAAACACCGAAGACGAGGACUAUGACCUGGAUUUCCCUUCAUACCCUCCGGGUUUCGACCGAUUCCCGAUAUUCCCCCCCCGGCGAGGGGAUAUUGUGUUCAAUGUCAGCGCCGACGAACCGGUCGUUGAUGGAGAAACAGAUGACCAGAGGCAACUCCGCGAACGGCGUAACGCCGAUCGCGCCCGACGACGCGCGGACGAGCAACAACAAAUGCCACCAAAUAAUCUCAACGAUGCCUUUGACAUGGUCGGGGACCAGCCAGUCUACAAAACGCCAAGCGCCAACGUGGCUGUCGCCAUGGCUAACCUGGAUCGGCUUCCCGACACCCCCGAAUGCCAGGGAGUCCGGACCAGCAUCCGAGCACACCUGAUCGCCGCAAUGGGACAGACGGCCACUCUGCUCAAGAGAGUCUAGGACGUCUCUUAUACGGAAGCCGUCUCCGACCAGACUAAUCAUAGCCGGGCCUCACCCAGCAGGCGUCACCGCAGCCGCUCCCCCGACAACCGUCGAGGGGACUCACGGCGCGACGAUGGUGGUCGGGACGCCGAUGGCCGCCGCAAGCAGAACCGCGUACGCGGCCAAGAGGAAGAUCAACACAGGGAUCUCCGCCACAACAUCCCUUCCAAAGAUGCCCGGGACCACAUCAACAGGCGCGCUGCAGAGAGAGCAGUCCACGAAAACCUGCGCCGCAUCGAGUACGAUGCAACACACGGUCCCCCGGGCCUAAGACAGUUCUCCUCGCACCUCCGCCAGGUCGUGUGGCCCCGCAAUUUCAAGCUCGAAAAACUCAAAAAGUACGACGGCAAGGAAAAUCCAGAGAACUGGAUCACCCUCUAUGACAUCGCCGUCCGAUCAGCGGCAGGGGACGAGCACGUCAUGGCUAACUACUUCCCCGUAGUCCUCGACCAGGCUGGUCAUCAGUGGCUUCUCGGCUUGCCCGAGGACUCCUUCGACUCUUGGGAAGAGCUACGCCAGGCUUUCAUCGACAACUUCAUCGCCACAUGCGAGCAGCCUGGAAACAAGUAUGACCUUGAAAGGAUAAGGGACAGGAAGAACGAACCUCUGCGCGAUUACAUCCGACGAUUCUCGGAUAUGCGCCUCAAAAUCCCGAAGAUUUCUCAUGACGAGGCCAUCUCAGCCUUCAUCAAGGGCCUGCGUUUCCACGAAGCGCUGAGGAACAAGCUGUUGCGUAAGCGUCCAACAACGGUAGCAGAGCUCCUCGCCACGGCCAAAAAUUACGCCGAUGCCGAUGACGCAGAAAAACUAAUCCGAGACGAUGCGAGGGGUCCCGACCAGCCUCCCCGACGAGAUGAUGGUCGUGGUCGCAACGACAGCAGAAAUCACCGCCGCUCCGACAACCGCGAUCAUCGAGAGGGUUGGGAUCGGCGGCGCGACAGCCGCGAUGACUUCAGAGGAAAGCGCCCUCGCGACUACGACCACGAAGUAAAUACGGUCAAACGACCCAAUGGACGACGGGACUACCAAGAAGACUACAACAAAACGUUGAGGGGACCAUGCCAACUACACCCAAAGUCCAAUCAUACCAUGGAAGAGUGCCGCGUCCUCAAAAGUAUCUAUACACGGCGGGCCGCCCAAGACGACUCCGCCAAGAAAAACAACAAGCGCGACGCGCACGACCACGAAGAUGAGGAUGAGGACCAAGAUAGGGACCCCCGACACCAAUACGUCAGCCCCACUGACGUGGUCCACUCCAUUUUCGGGGGCAAGGUCUCCACUGAGUCCAAGCGAGAAAGAAAGCUGUUAAAGAGAGCCUGCCUCAACAUAGACAGCACGGACGGGCUGAUCGCAGACCCGAAAUUUCCCACGUGGUCCCACAGGGAGAUCUCGUUCAGCAGGAAGGACCAGUGGGCCGCUAUCCCAGAGCCGGGUCGUUUCCCCCUGAUUCUUGACCCCUGCAUCAACAGCAUCAGAUUCGAGCGCGUGCUCGUGGACGGGGGAAGCUCCAUCGACAUCCUCUUCCGCAACAGCCUGCCCGCCCUCAAGAUAUCCCCGGCACAACUAAAACCUUACGACGCCCAAUUCUGGGGGGUUUUGCCAGGUCAAAGUUCCGUGCCUCUCGGACAGAUAACAUUGCCUGUCCAAUUCGGCACACCCGACCACUUCCGGACAGAGUUCAUCAACUUCGUAGUCGCGGAUUUCGACGGGACCUAUCACGCCAUACUGGGCCGCCCAUCGCUGACAAAGUUCAUGGCAGUCCCGCACUACUCAUACCUAGUCCUUAAGAUGCCCACGGAGAAGGGUGUCCUAACCAUCAGAGGCAACGUCUACACUGCGUACACCUGCGAAGAAGAAAGCUUCAAGAUCACCGAGGCAAUUGACCUCUCAAUCCGCAUGGCGGAAACAGCAAACCAAGCCGCACAGCUGCCUCCCGACCAGCUCCGAUUACCCGAACAGGCGACAGCCAGGAAGAACUCAAAAUCCAAGGAGUACAAAGAAGUGCAGCUGGUCGAAGGCAACCCCGAGAAGACAGCCCUCAUCGGGGCCAACCUGGAUCCAAAAUAGGAAGACGCGCUCGUCAGGUUUCUAAGGGACAACGUGAGCGUUUUCGCAUGGAAACCCGCAGACAUGCCCGGUGUCCCACGAAACCUGAUCGAGCACUCCUUAAAUGUCUCGAAGACCGCAAGACCAAUCAAGCAAAAACUGCGACGGUUCGCUCGUGACAAAAAGGAGGCUAUUAGGACAGAAAUAACACGGCUUCUAGCAGCCGGAUUCAUAAAAGAAGUGUAUCACCCCGAUUGGCUCGCCAAUCCGGUUCUUGUACGCAAAAAGAAUAAUGAAUGGAGAAUGUGCGUUGAUUACACUGAUCUCAACAAACACUGUCCUAAAGAUCCUUUUGGUCUCCCUCGCAUCGACGAGGUGGUCGACUCAACGGCCGGAUGCGAACUCCUCUCCUUUCUAGACUGCUACUCUGGUUAUCACCAGAUCUCGCUAAAGGAAGAAGAUCAGAUCAAAACAUCCUUUAUCACACCCUUCGGCGCAUACUGCUACACGACCAUGUCUUUCGGACUCAAAAACGCCGGAGCCACUUAUCAAAGGGCCAUCCAGCAAUGCCUCCACGACGAGAUUCGUGAUGACCUCGUCGAGGCCUAUGUGGACGACGUGGUCGUAAAAACAAGGGACGCGAGCACCCUAAUCGACAACUUAGACCGAACCUUCAAGGCACUUAAUAGGUACAAGUGGAAGCUCAACCCCAAGAAAUGCAUUUUCGGCGUUCCUUCCGGUCUACUGCUCGGCAACGUUGUCAGUUGCGACGGCAUACGACCAAACCCUUCAAAAGUAAAGGCGGUACUCGACAUGCGACCACCGAAGAACGUAAAGGAUAUCCAAAAGCUAACAGGAUGUAUGGCCGCCCUCAGUCGCUUCAUCUCAAGGCUAGGAGAAAAAGGCCUCCCUUUCUUUAAACUGUUAAAAGCGUCGGAAAAAUUUUUUUGGACAGAAGAAGCCGACACCGCAUUCAACCAGCUUAAGACCUUCCUCACUUCACCACCUGUCCUUACAGCCUGGAGUUUCGCACAAGGAAACAAGAUGUGGAGAUCAAGCAGGAUUCUAGUCGGUUAGAAUAGAAAUUGAUAUCGAAUUAUCCAUGACAAUUGUAACCGACUAGGGUUAGUUUCCGGAUCUGUAACCCUGCCCUCCAGACUAUAUAAGGAGAGGCAAGGGACCCCCCUAGGACAUCAUAUUCUCUCAACACAAAUCAAUACAACCAGACGCAGGACGUAGGUAUUACGCCAACUCGGCGGCCGAACCUGGAUAAAAAGCUUGUCCGUGUCUUGCGUCACCAUCGAGUUCGUAGUUUGCGCACCGUCUACCGAUAAACUACUACCGUGGGUAUACCCCAAGGUAGACUGCCGACUAGCUUUCGUCGACAAGUAACUAGCCAUGUGUAUCUAAAUAGAGUAGAAUUGUAAAAGAGGACGAUGGUAAUCCUAGUGUACUAUUCUUGAGAUGUCUUGAAAUAAUAAAAUAUAGAAGGGCUUUGCACGAAAAGAGGAUGUGAAAAACAUGGCUUAUGCCGAGGCUGUUUGUUCGGUUAAAAAAAUAAGUUGAAAAUAAAGUAAUGUUCACUAAUCUAUUGUGUGAGAAAAAUAUUGUAUCAUAGCUGAUAAGUCUGUGUGUCAUUGUUAUAUUCGUAACAUAAAUUUGCAAAACUCUACAUUUCUCCCUUUUUUUUAAAAAAAAUGACAGACACGAGCUACCUUUUAUAUAGUACAGUCAGGCUUCUCCUUACGUGAUUGAGCAAAGCUCCUGCCAUUUCUUAAAAAAAUGCAAGCUCGGUUGAUAAGGGUUUUGCCGUUUGAGGCUUCCGUUGAGCAUCACGUUUGUGUAAACUCAGAAAAUAAACUAAAAGCUGCUGUGAAGUGAUUUCGUGGCUUUUGAUUUGUUCUGGAAGCUAAAUAAAUAUUAAAUAAAUUUAAUAAUAAAAAUACAGCUACAAAAUCAGCUUUUAUGUCAGAAGUACAAAAGGUACCGCUCAAACAAACUAGCCCUUAGGGGGGCGUUUGGUUGCCUACACCAGUCCUCCUGAGCCAGGCUCUCCGCGUGCGAGAACAGACAUUUGUUUGGUUGGCAUAUGUGCCGAGCGAGGCUACACGCGUGCAAAAAGCCUCUCGCAGCCAGGCUCUGCUGAAACGCAGAAAUCGGCCGUUUUUGUUGGGCCUGGCUCACCUCAUGCGAGCAAGCACUGAACGAUGCAUGACGUGUGAGAUAGAGAUACGUGAACACGGUGAACCAAACAGAUGCUGCUGUUGGCCUAGCUGUAGUGAUCCAAGUAACCAAACAAGAUGCUAUCGCAUACAUAGAGCCUGGUCAAAGUUGGCCUGACUAGCUCUGUGCGAGCUAGGCUCUACCGAGCAACGAACCAAACAGUCUCUAGAUGUCUUCUUCUCACUGUGUGAAAAAAUGGCAUUACAGACGCGCCUUUACUGAUAUCACAGAUGCUCCUGAGUGCGUCAGUGAUAUAAAGUCUGAUAAAUAUUUAAUAAGACCUUAAUACUGACGCACUUCUAACAUCCGUAUGUAAGUAACACAUAGACACGUCAGUAGUAAAGCUUUUUCAGCGACGCCUAUCUAGAACACACGUCAUUAAGGUCCAGCUCGUCAGUACAAAAUUCUAACUGCAGACGCUUCUUCAGGAAUAGGGGUCUGUAGUAAGGAUUAAGCCACAGACGCAUUAUCCAGAGACGCGUCUACAGUAUGAAUUAAAUUGUAACAGUACCAUCGGCAUAUCUCUGUACUAAAUACCUCAAUGAAACGACAUAAAUACACAUCAACAUCUCAUUAAUUAGUACACAGCUUUAACACAAUCAAAUACAGAUCAAAGUUUAAUCACUAAAUUAAAUGUGUAGCUCUAAUAAAGUCACGUUACCUUAUGGCUGGCUAUCGAAUAACUUAUUUUGUAGCUUGAUCAAAACUGGCUCGUGGUCACCAGCGCACCAUGUGUGUCCAUUCAUCCAUGGCAGCUUAGGCGCGUGGCUUUGGCUUUGUGUCUCCCACCUCUCUAGUGAACGCGAUAGCUCUUGAAGUUUUUAUAUUUUCCAAAAUAAUUUCAAUUUUAAACGCGUACUAAAACAAAUUCAGGGUUACUGAUACAAAAUAUGAGAUCGGGUCGUAGAAAAAAGUGCCGAGAGAAAAACUUUUAGAAUAAAAAUAUAGAAAACUUUUGAAGAUGAUUUCUUUUUUUACUCCUCAUGUUAAUCUAGGAGUUCAUAAACAUGAUAUUUUGGGGAAUAUAAUAUAAAAGAUCUCUUGGAGAUGCUAUCUUUUCUUCCACCUCUCUAGUGAACGGUAUAGCUCUUGAAGCACAAAUCCAAUUCUACGGACGUUCAUUCAUUCUACCUCUUGAAGCUUUCAUAUUUUCCAAAAUAAUUUCAGUUUUCAAGACAUAUUCACUGGAACAGCCUCCCAAUAUCUAUUCAAAAUGUAUUCACACGAAAAAGUAAAUAUAUAUUCCAAAUGAGCAAAAUUCCUUAUUUGGUCAAACUUGCGUAGGAUUCCAAAAGGGUUUUUUUGAACGGUGCCAUUACAAUUUCAAAGUAUUUGAAAUAUGCCAUUAUAAUUCAGGUAUCCUGAAGCGGACCAUUACAAUUCUUGCAAAAUUUGAAAUAUGCCAUUGGAUACGGUAGAAGGACGCUUGGGCCUGCUUGCAAGCCGACGUGGCAUACGGUCGACCGUAUGCGCCCGUCGCCGUGAGCCAUCUAAACGGCGCGGCAAAAAACGCCGUCUCCACCCCGCCCCUGACUCAUUCUCGCUCUCCAUCUCUCUGUCUCUCUCGAGCGUAACCCUAGGCGCGGCGGCGGCGGCGUGGCGGCGGCGGCGCAGGGGGAGGCAAUGGAAUAGGGGCGCAUGUCCAUGGCAGACGUGCCCCCGUGCACGGCGCAGCGCAGGGCGCCGCGGAUGGGGGAUAGCAACGAAAGGUAAUGUUUUGUCCUUCCAGAGCACGAAUACGAGUGCAUUAGGUCUUGAUCUGUUGAUUGGCAUUAGAUAUUGAUGUGAUUUGGUUGAUGCUAGGGUUCCGCUAUUUUCUUUAGAAAUUAAAGUGGAAGCAUUCUGUUGGAGAGACUCUUUGGGUAGGAAAGCUUACACAAAGGGCUCUGUAAUUAAGUGGGAUGUGGAGAUUGGCUCGUUUUCAUUUGAUGUACUGAUGGCCAGCUUGCGCAAUGCUGUCAAUUGCUCUACUACUCAGUGUCCAGUUGCUUGGUUCUAUGAUAAAAGGUUGUCUCAAGAUGUCAUGCUAGAAAAUCAAUUCCAGAUUAAUGAUAUGUUUGAGAUGUAUAAGGAGGAGAUGCAUUGCCACAUUGUCGUAGGGGUAUUUGAUCAGUCUGUUCCCACUAUUGAUCAAUUUGAUGAACUAGAUCUUCCUCCUGACACUAGCACUGGCAACCCAGCCAGUACUGACAGUUAUGUUAACCAGCCCACAUUUGAGGCAGAUGUUGCACCAGAGGCUGAAGUUGAGACUCAACUUGAGCCUGAUAGGGAACCUGAUAUGUUUGAUAACGAUGAGGAGUAUGUGGGUUGUGAUGAUGAGGGCAUGUACAUGCCAACACCACCAACACAGCCUCCUAGUAAUUCACCUCCACAUGCUUCUCAUGAUGCUGAAAAUGCUGAUGCUGAUGCUGAUGCUUUUCCUGUUGAGGCAGAGGUCACUGAUGCAGACCCUGAAGAGAUCAAUAUCAUUCAUGACCCAGAACAUCCCAAGAUUGUAAAGGGGGAGUUAUUUCCUGAUAUUGUUUCAUUCAGGAAAGCUAUCAGGCAUUUCUCUGUUACUAAAGGCUAUGUGUUAGCUGGUAUCAAAACAGACCCAUCAAGAUUUAUUGCAAAGUGCAAAUCCGAGGGAUGUCCUUGGCGCAUACAUGCAUCUAGGCUGCAGGGUAGAAAGACAAUACAGGUAACUGUCUAUUCACUAGUUCCUUUGUGCAAGUUUUAUUUUUUCUUUACCUGACAUGUUUCGUAUGCACAGAUCAAAGUACUGCCUGCAGAAGAUGGCAUCACAGUCUUGGUGUGCAGAUAGGCUGGCAGAUUGGAUAAAAAAACAUCCAACAAAACGUGCAAAAGAGUGCAGGGAGAAGUUGGAAGAUGAUUAUGGCAUCAAGCUGAAGUAUUCAAAGGCUUGGUCAGGUAUGCAGUGCGCAUUGGAUCAAAUCCAUGGUAAAUAUGAGGAAAGUUUUCAACUGCUAUUCAAUUGGGGUGCUCAAAUUGAAAAGGUAUCUCUUGGUAGCACUGUAGUGGUAGAGGUUGACAAAAUUGGUAAGAAGAACAGAUUCAAAAGAAUGUUUGUUGCUCUAAAGCCUUAUGUAGAUGGAUUCUUGGCUGGUUGUAGGCCUUUUUUGGGUAUAGAUGCAUCUUGUUUGAAUGGAAAGUAUAGAGGUCAGCUAGCUUCAGCAACCAGUGUAGAUGGACAUAAUUGGUUGUAUCAUGUAGCUUAUGGCAUUUUUGACAUAGAAAAUGAAGACAACUGGACAUGGUUCUUGCAACUUCUUAGUAGAGCAAUUGGGCCUGUCCCAAAUCUUGUAGUUUGUACAGAUGCAUGCAAAGGCGUGGAGAAUGCAGUGGGUAAAACUUUUCCAACAGCUGAGAAUAGGGAAUGCAUGAGACAUAUGUACCAAAACUUUUAUGAAGCACUAUUCUAGUGAUGUAUUCACAGACCACCUUAUCCUACAGCUAGAAGUUACACUCAAGAAAAAUUCCAGUGGCACAUGAAUCAGAUACAUGAGUAUGCUCCUCAAGCUAUAGAAUAUAUUGAGAAUUACCACAGCAGGAUAUGGUACAGGUGUGGGUUCUCAGAAAGUAGCAAGUGUGAUUAUUUGACCAACAAUGUGUCAGAAAGCUUCAAUGCACAGGUGAAGCACCUCAAAGGUUUAUUAUUACAUGAACUGGUAGAUGUUGAUAUUUGGUAACGCAAUAAGGAAAUAAUCCGCAAGCGCACGGAUAUCGGUGAGCAUUUCACCCGGGAGGUUUUCCAGAGUAUCGUAUUUAUAUUUUUACCACUGGGAGAAAGGGUGCAUCUGACUAACCAAAUCUAUUGCUACUAUCCCUUUAGGCUACAAAGAAUGUUUCUCAAUGUGAGUGAUAUAUAGAGAAGACUGCAACCGUAGUCUCGUUCUAACCUUGGUAAGGAUGAUCUACUGUUCUAUUGGGGAAGCUUACGGAAUCUAGACACCACAAAGGAUGUUUGACCCGCACCUAUAAACCUACCCGUCCUGCUAACAAGAUAUGGGAUACAAAGGUAACUCGGAAAUGUCACGUUCCUCGCUACUACCACGGUCCAGCUAGUCAGGGGAUAUCUAUGAGUACCCUAGUGAAAGGUCCUAAUAUGGCUAGAGGGGGGUGAAUAGCCUAUUUAAAAAUUCUACAAACUCACUAGAGCGAGAGGUUAGUAAAUAACAAAGCGAAGCCUUUUGCUCUAGCUCUAAUGGGGUGUUUGCAAGCCACCUGUCCAACAAUUCUAGUUGAUAUAAUCACUAGACACACAAGAGCUAUGUCACUACUUACACUAGAAAGCUACCUAAAGUUUCUAUACAAGUAAGUAAGCUACUCUAGUUUGCGGGAAUGUAAAAGAGAUGGUUUUAACUUUAUACCGCCGCAUAGAGGGGAUGAACCAAUCACUAAUAUGAAGUCCAAUCACCGGGAGAAAUCCAAUGAACAAUCACAAUGGAUACACACAAUUUUACUCCCGAGGUUCACGUGCUUGCCGGCACGCUACGUCCCCGUUGUGUCGACCAACACUUGGUGGUUCGGUGGCUAAGAGGUGUAGCACGAACCUCGUCCUCACUAGGACACCACAAGAACCUACCCACAAGUGAGGUAGCUCAAUGACACGAGCAAUCCACUAGAGUUACCUUUCGGCUCUCCGCCGGGGAAGGUACAAGACCCCUCACAAUCACCGGGAGAUGGCCACGAACAAUCACCAACUCGUGCUAAUCCUCCUCCGUUGCUCCAAGCCGUCUAGGUGGCGGCAACCACCAAGAGUAACAAGAAAACCGCAGCUAGAACGAUCCCCAAGUGCCACUAGAUGCAAUCACUCAAGCAAAUUCACUUGGAAUCACUCCCAAUCUCACAAAGAUGUUUAAUCUAUGAAGGAGAUGAGUGGGAGGUGUUUGCUUAGGCUCACAAGGAUGUUAUGUAUGUUAGAAUGCCAAGAGAGUGAGCCCCAAGCCGGCCAAACACGUAUUUAUAAGCCCCUCAAGCAAAUAGAGCCGUUGGCACUUUCACUGGGCAAACUGCGGGGUCACCGGACGCUCUCAAAGGGGCACCGGACGCUCAACACCAGCGUCCGGUGCUCCAACGUCAGCCAUGUGUCGCCUUUUGAAAAACUCGUGUCAGAGUCUAACGGUCACCUGCAGUGCACCGGACGCUAAGCAAGUUAGCACCGGACGCGUCCGGUGCACACCGGACUCAUGCGCAGAGAGCUCCGCAAACUCGCACGGUCACCGGACGCAAGCCACCGGACGCACCCUGAGCAUCCGGUGCUCACCGAACUCAUGCGCAGAGAGGGUUGCAAAACGCCCUCACACCGGACGCUAACCACCGGAAGCGUCCGGUGCUCACCGGACCCAUGCGCAGAGAGGGUCGCAAAACGCCCACACACCGGACGCGCACCACCGGACGCUCAAGCCAGCGUCCGGUGCCUAUCGUCCGGUGCCUUACCCUAGCUGGGCCAGGCACUGUCUGCACCGGACGCUCAGACGCAGCGUCCGGUGCUCCAGAAGCCAGCGUCCGGUGAGUGUUUUCUCAGCGAGAAACACUCCCACGACUACUCCAAAUUUCCUACCGACGCAAUAGAAAAUAUGCAUUUUAUUUUCUCGAAAAGCGCCGAAUCCCACCUCGCAAGCUCGGCGGGAGGGAGAGAGGAACCCAUCCUCUCUCUACGUACUCUUCAAACUCCACCUCCUUCUCAAAGUGUGCCAACACCACAAGUGUAAACCAACAAGUGUGCACGUGUGUUAGCAUUUUCACAAUCAUUUUCUUAGAAGGAGUUAAGUUAGCUCACUAGGUUCUAAAUGCAUACACAUGAACAAUGACACCUAGUGGCACUUGAUAACCGCUUAGCCAAAGAAUUCCCCUCUUUAUAGUACGGCUAUCUAUCCUAAAUGUGAUCACACCCUCUAUGGUGUCUUGAUCACCAAAACCAAAACCCUAAGCAAUACCUUUGCCUUGAUCUCCAUAGGGUUUUGUUUUUCUCUUUCUUCUUUUCCAAGUUGAGCACUUAAUCAUCUUGUGGUCAUCACCAUGAUCAUCAUGAUCAUCACUUGCUCCAUCACUUGGCAUGUACCAACCUCAUUAAGUCUACACACACUUAGUAUAGAGGUUAGUACUAGGGUUUCAUCAAUUAUCCAAAACCAAACUAGGGCUUUCACCUAGCCUAAACACCACGUUUACGCUAGCAAUAAUUACUCUAAUACUCAACCGGAAGAGGAUUAAAUUAAACUCAUAAACCAAAGAACAAUAAAACAAGAACUUACUAGAAUUAGAAGUCGAAUUACUGAAGAAUCUUAGAAGCAAGCCUCGGGUUAGAAGACUUGAUCCCGCAGGUACAACUCGGAGUAGACACCGACAGGUCGGCCUUCCUCCGAUCUACACCUCCACUCUAUCUCUCUCAAUCUAGUAGAAACUAGAAGAUCUAUUUCUACUUACAUUGGUUGCUAAGCCUAAAAAAAUAUUAUUUAGAGAAGAGGUUUUCCUUCGAGGGCACCCCUCAAUCUCUAUGAUAACUUCUUGUCUUCUCCAGGGGCCAGGGGGGUCUCCUUAUAUAGUCCUCCUCCUCUAUGCGUUUUUGGGUCGGUAGGCGAUGUGGUACUACAUUAUCCUUGAUCCAUUAGGUCGGUGGAACAUCGUGUGCGAAGAGAGUCCCGAACGGAGUCUAGGACACGGCGGGCGCCCAGGGAAAGAGGGCGGGCGCCCUGGGCCUGGCCCCUUUCGGCCUCUGCUUUCUUCCCGUGGCUUCUGGAGUCUUCUAGAUGGUAGAAAAUUACGCGGUGCGUUGAUAUCUCUAUGUAAUCCCGACAUGUGGGCCUUUCUUCCGUAUUUUUUGAUAACCCCCUGCAGAAAUAGACAAACACCAAAACUCAUGGAAUUCUGUCAGAUAAAACCCUAAGUCUAGAUGUUGAUUUCAUUUGGAUCCUUUUCUUUGUUUAUUUGAUAAUUAAAUUUGAUACUUAAGGACCGUCAACAGUAGACAGAAUUAGAGAGCUUAUAAUGGAGAAGAGAUAUUUGAGGAAGAAAGUUGCUAGGCAGUGGGAAGAUGGAAUCCUCCCAAAUGUGAUGAAGGAUUGUUGGGUAUUCUUAACAUCAUUACCAAAAGUAGACUAAGUUCUCUAAAUCUAGUAACGGUGCCAAAAAUGCCAAACCUAUCCCUCACACCACUUAAGCCAAGUUGUCAUCCCCAGCAUGACAUGAGAGACGCGGUAUUGAAAUAUGCAAUUGCUCUUCUAAAUAAAUAAUGAAUGAGAUCUGCAAGCGCACAGAUUAAUACCGAUGUAGCAUUUUAACCGGGAAGUAUUCUAGGUAUCGUUAUUUAUAUUUUUACCACUGGGAAGGGAUUAGCAAUCAUCACUAUUGAUUACAGAAUAGAAUAUGAGAUUGAGCAUCUAUCAUUGCAUGUAUAAUUGAGAACAUUUAUCUAACUCUUCAUACAGGGAUAAGUGUCACAUAAAAGAUAUAUGAAAUAAUAAUAGUGACAAGGAUAACUAAUCUGAUCUAGCCACAUAAUAAAUAUGAUAAGCACCUCAAUUAGAUACUCUAGAAAGUCAUUAGCAUGGUAUUAGAACGAACUAUAAGAAUAUUCCCUAAGUUAUUCUCAACUAUAUAGUUUAGCAUUAUCAUAGUUAGUGCAAGCAUACUUAGCAAUCAUUGUGAGACAAGACUACGCCCAUGCAUAGUGAUAUUAGCAAGGAAUAUGAGAAACAUAGCAAUCACUCCCCUAUAAUAAUGUUGCUCUGCCAGCCCAAUACACGAGAGGGGGACUAUAUAAGAAUCAAUGAAGCUGUCACUAUCACGAACCACCCCACGAUCUGGCAUAUUGGGUACAAUCGCAGAUAAAUAUGGUAUAAGCACCACGCCUACACAAUAUCUAUCAUUUACCCAUGGAUCCGAUGGAUAAACGCUAUACGAUCCUAAGCAUGUAUAUAGAUCGAAUCUAACUAAGCCAAGUACAUAACUAUGAUAAACUAAGAACAAUAUAAUCUUGAAUAUAAGCAAGUAGAGCAAAGUCAUAAGCAAUAUAUUGAAGUAGAACAAAGUCAUAUUUAUAAUAUUGAAGAACAAAGAUAAUUAGAAAGUAAUUAGAAGCACAAUUAGAGAAUUACCAAGAAUCCUCUUGACAGAUCCGGAAACCAAUCGAAGAUUGACUCCUUCUAGUUCUAAUCCUAUGUAGCUAUGCUAAUCUAGAUAUCUAAUUGAUGUGGUGGCUCUAAUCUUGAUCAGAGGCUUCUUCUCCCUUGAAGAACAAUGAAUUAGGGUUGAGAGGCUCCCCCCUCUAGGGGCCAGGGGGUCUGGUUUUAUAGUCCCUUCAAGUGAAUAUGGGCCGUUGGAUCAAACCGACAUAGAUUGUAUGGUUUAGAUUCAUCCUUUAGGUCGGUGGAAAUCUCCCACGAAGCAGAGUCCUGAUUGGACUCAGGAGGUGGGCGGGCGCCCUGAUCACCUGGGCGGGCGCCCAGGGUCACGCCCCGUUUCGCCUCCGCUUCGGUUUCGUGGCUUCUGGAGUCUUCUAGAUGUAAGAUAAUUGCGCGACACGUUAAUAUCUCUAUGUAAUCCCGACGUGUGGGCCUUUCUUCCGUAUUUCCUGAUAACCCCCUACAGAAAUAGACAAACACCAAAACUCGUGGAAUUCUGUCAGAUAAAACCCUAAGUCUAGAUCUUGAUUUCAUUUGGAUCCUUUUCUUUAUUUAUUUGAUAAUUAAAUUUGAUACUUAAGGACCAUCAACAAGGAUCUCAACCUGAUCAGUACUCAACUCAAUGUAGUCAAGGUCAAAGUCAGUGAUGAUAACACUGCUGAAGUUACAAUCCUGGAGUGGGAGAAGCAAAGGAGGCACACUGUGGACCUAGGAAACCACAAUUGUUCCUGCAGGCAGUGGCAAGUGACUGGAAAGCCAUGUAAGCAUGCUUUGGCUUGGAUACUGUCAAUCCCAGGGAUGAGAAUUGAGGAUUAUGUACAUGAGUACUAUUCAGUUGCUAGAUUUAAGGCAGCUUAUGCUGAUAGGAUUGAGCCUAUCCCAGACAAGGAUGAAUGGCCUGUUGUCAACCUUGGUUUUAAAGUGUAUCCUUCAUUGCUAGGCAGAGGUCCAGGAAGGCCAAGGGUUGUAAGAAUUAGAGGGACUUUUGAGCAGAGGGCCACGAAGAAGAAAGUUAGGUGCAAGAGAUGUGGUGACUUUGGACAUUUUUCCAAGACCUGCAAGUUGCCAGAACUAGGUGAAGAUGGAGAAAGAGGACAAGGGUCUUCAAAAAGGUAUUAAAACUAUUGUCUAACCAUUUUAUUAUUUUUUCCUAUGUACUAAGAUCUAACCGGCUAUUGUCAUCUCAACGCAGAAAGAGGCCGACUCAGCAAGUGUCAUCACAGGAAGCUCCAACGCAGGAAGUACCAACACAGGAUGAUGCUGGACCUUCCCAGGUGAAGAAGACCAAGCCUCUGAAGAAGGUUACAACUAAGAAGAAGAAGAAGACACCAAAGAAAACAAAGCUGCAGAGGGAAGCAGCUGCACCUGGGAAGGCUGUUAUCAGCAGCAUCAGGCACCUGAUCUAUGAUGCUCCACAGGAUGCUGAUCUAUGAUUCUCCACAGGAUGCUGAUCUAUGAUGCUCCACUUAUAUGGCUUUGUUCUGAACCUUACUAUGUAAUGAGGCAUUAGAAUGCCAACUUGGAACUUGUAUGGCUGAUGCUGCUACUAUGUAAUGAGGCAUUAGAACUUGCCAACUAUUUUCAGUCAUGUGAACUCUACUUAUGUUAGUUUGUACUCUCCUGUAUUGUGUCAAUUAUCAUGUGAACUCUACUUAAAAUGUUAAGAAAACAAGACAAAGUGCUGCAGAAAUUCUAAUAUAUUUUGAAGCUGAAAUUCUAAUCUAUUUUCAGUGACAAAAGGCAUAGGACAAUGCUGAUCAUACUCAUCGAAGAAACUCAGUGACAAAAUGCUUGUUCUUUCAUUGCAAAUACACAUAAUUACAGUCACUUCAUCAUCUGAGAAAAACCUACACCUAGCAGUACACCCACAAGGACACCUACAACAACAGAUACAUCCAACACAAUUUGCAUUUUCCCCUUCCUGCCCAAGUCCAGUGCUGGACUCUGAUUACUAACUUGACUAGGAACAGCAACAACAUCUCUGUCUCCAAGUUGCACCUUCAUUUUCUCAAGUUCAGUGACAACUCUAUCUAGAGUUUGCUUCAUCUCCUUGUCCCGUUGAUUCAAAUCAUCAUUAGGAUCCCCAACUGCUGAAUGAAGGGGCAACUGCAGCUGAAUCUCUUUCUCCUUUUGCUUCAUAAACCAUGCCUCGUACUGCUCCUCCGAACGAAUCCAGCCACAAGUUGUUGGAUCACCCUGUGCAAGCAACACCAGUCAAAUUGAAAACAAAGGAAGCACAUUCAAGGGCAUAAACAAUGCAAAUAGUUACCUUUACGUUGUUUGGGCACUUGAUGAAUGCGACAUCCUUUGAGUGCUCUUGCUUGCUCACGAUUCGGAUCAAAGGAACAUUGCACACUGGGCAGUUCAGUAGGGGGCACUGCACCCUUCUACUGCCAGCAGCGGAAGAGCUCGAGGCCAUCUUCAUCUGCAGCGCCGCCGUCGGGAUCGUGGCACCGGAAUCGCCGCCGCCGCGCCUAGGGUUACGCUCGAGAGAGACAGAGAGGUGGAGAGCGAGAAUGAGUCAGGGGCGGGGUGGAGACGGCGUUUUUUGCCGCGCCGUUUAGAUGGCUCACGGCGACGGGCGCAUACGGUCGACCGUAUGCCACGUCGGCUUGCAAGCAGGCCCAAGCGUCCUUCUACCGUAUCCAAUGGCAUAUUUCAAAUUUUGCAAGAAUUGUAAUGGUCCGCUUCAGGAUACCUGAAUUAUAAUGGCAUAUUUCAAAUACUUUGAAAUUGUAAUGGCACCGUUCAAAAAAACCCAUUCCAAAAUAGAAAGUCCUUUUCCUUCCCAAACAGAAAACCAUGUUUAUCUGCCAACAGUUUCUAACCCAUGGGUCCCACGGGUGCCAACGGUUUCCCUCUUGAUCCUCCCCAAUCGCCCGCUCACACCACCACGCCGCCACGCCGCUCAUCGUUAACUUCCUGCCCUCCACGGACUUAUCCGCUCGUCGCGCCCGCCUCAAGCUAAUGACGAAUCUAAUGAGUAGAAGAGUGAGGGCAUGUGUCCUUAAGGAAAAAAAACGUCUUCGACCAGAAAUCUCCACCUGCCGCGCUGUGGAGUUCUCGUGCUGGGGCUCCUCCCCGUGCGUCGCCACGGUGCCGUGGCUGACCACACGAGCGCGGCUUGGCAUGCGUCUAAAGAUACAGUGGCCGUUGUUGGAGAUGACCUUGAAGCUGUGCAUCUGCCAUUCUGCCUUCCAUUGGUGCCUAUGGGGUACACUGUCAAACAGCGCUGGUGCCCCCUCCAUCGGCGCGGGAGGAAGAAGAUGACCAGGUUGAGCGGUGUGGAACCGUCGUAAACGAAUCUGCGCGGUUUCUCCCAACACGGUUGACUGUGGGCUGAUUUACGGGUACACGGUUAGUAUACAGCAUCGUACAUACCACUCAUAUAUAUAGUCAUAUAUAACAUCUCAAGUCCAUACACGGCACACUGCUUAGAGAACCUUUAUUUAUUUUGUAUGAAAAAGGGACAUGAAAGAAAACCAUUCUCCGAAUAUAUCAAAACAUGUAUAAGGCUGCCCGUGAAGUAGAAUCGCAUCCCCAUCCACAGAUUUAGUUGUAGGCGUCGGGGUUGGCGACGAGGUAGGCCUCGGCACCCUUGAAAAUGGCGGUGAGUGCCUCCUUGGCCUUGGCUUCCUCGUCCUUCUCGUCCAUGCCCGGCAGCAACUUGUAGGUCGACUCCACCUUCACCACGCUGCCGCCGUCGGCCGUGGGCUCCACCUUGAUGUGUGACGCCGCGGUCUCGAUGGCAACACCGAUGCCGCCGCCCUCGACGAGCGUGUUCUUGCACUCGCACUUGUCCACGUCCAGGAAAUCGAGCCUCUCCUUCAUGAAGCUGAACGGCAUGACUGCAAGAACGAUCGCGCACGUCAUUCGCUAGCUAUUUGAUCGAUCGAUCGGGCGACAACAUGUUGGUCUGGGCGACUGGGCAUGCUGCGGACACUUACAUGAGGUGAAGUUGAACUGCCUGACGCUGCCAACGCCGCCGUCGCCCUCCACGGGGUGGGCGCUGGCGACGACGUGGGAGGCGACCUUGGGCGCCAGGGUGUGCCAGUCCAUCACGGCGGCGCGGAACAGGCGCGGCGCGGCCACCGGCGACGGAAUCUCCAGGGUCCAGCUGCUGGCGGAGGCCAUUACUUCAGUGAUCGGCCGAGAUAAACUAAACUAGGUGCGAGCCGAAGCUGCUUAGGUGCUUGUGCUGCUGCAGGUGGUUUUAGGAUUGCGCUUUUGCUUGCGUUGCCAUUAGAGUGGCGGACGGAGGACUUUAAAUAGGCGGUUAUGGCGGGGUUGGUGGCGUCCCGUGAGGAUGAGACGCUCGGGAGUCGUCGUCGGCGGCUCUUCCCACUUUGGCUUGGCACGGCACCGUCGCUCGUCGGUCCAUGUAGUUCAUUAUAAUAUACUACAUGUUGCCGGGGUUGCGGACAAACGUCUGGAAACGUGCUGCCAUUCCGUCAGCGUUCAACCCCUGAAGGUGUAGAAUAUAUAUCGUCGAAUUGGCGAGCCAAAUCAGCUUCCAGAUCAAAAAGCAUGUACUGUAAGCGUGGGUUGGUGUCAUUAGAAACGAGAAUUAUACCGUACGUGAGCGUCCUGACUACUUGCAUCACUCUUUUGGUGUCGCACUGUCGCUAUUAACUACUAAUAAUAAACAUAAUCCUGUAAAUCCACCUCUUUUUAAUCAUCCUAUAAAUACCUCUACUGGCGACAGCAUGGACAAAGCUCAUACGGAAAAUAACAUAGUGGUGGCCAAAGCUGUAUGGGAAAAUAUUGAUUGCAGACUAUCAAUUGGGUGCAAAAGUACUCAGUGUAAACUAUUAAUUAAGUGCAAAUAUAAAGACAAUUGCUAUGUCACAGUUGAUUGUUUUAGCCUCCGUGAAUAACUGAUUUCCUGGCCGUUUGAUUCUUAUCACGUGGGAUGAAAGAAAGACCAACAACGCUGCGGAAGCAGAGCGUGAGGAAGGACCGAAGGAGCCACCAGGGGUCCACUGAUGUCGCCAUUAGCACCAAGGAGAGGCCGUCGUCAGAGUCAGAGUCAGGGUUGUAGAGGGCUAUCACGUCCGUUGUCGAGGUCGGGGUGGGGUAAAGAUGGCAAUGGAUAAUUACCCGCUGGGUAUAUGCUACCCAUACCUUUACCGAUGAGAAAAUAUUUUACCCGUUAAUUUACAUAUCCAUGUAUGGGUAAGAGUUUUUUCCCAUACCCUUACCCACGUGGGUAACGGGUAAUCCAUGAGUUUUCUUACCCAUGAUUCUAAGAAUACUUGUAAAAAAUAAAUACAUAUUUAAAUAUUCUAGACUCCCAAUUUCAGCCAAAGUAUCAUAAGUCAUUAAUAAAAUCAUCAAAUAUACAAGCUCCAUGAAUACCUAAUCAAGUAAUCUAAUAGAUAAAUCCAUCAUUACUAGACAACAAGUGACAAAAUUUACAAGUUUCCGUGUUGUGCGGCCGCCGCAAGGAGAUAGGGGAAAGGUGAGAGAGCGGAUGUGUGAGGUACUAAGGUGAGGGCCUAGAGUUUGACAGCAUUAUAUAUGAUUUUUAUUGGACUUGGCCUGUGUAUGGUGAUUUUGGUCCAUAAUUCUAACUUAUUGAAUCGGGUCCAAUCCCAUACCCUUACUCGCUUUACCCGCUGGCUAAAGCUUUUUCCCAUUAUCUUACCUAUGGAUAAAAAAAAUAGUCAUACCUUUACCCUAAUGAAGUAAUUAACCAUCGGAUUUCGAGUAAAAAUUGACAUCUUUAAGGUGGGGAAUGGCCGCCGCAUCUACCAUAGCCACCUGCUUCCUGAGAUCCAUGGGGAAAGAGCCCGCCGCUAGCCGAGGGUGAGGAGCCGCCGCCUCUGUGUGGCCAACUUCAUGUCGGGCCUCUACCGUGGCGGGGGUAGCUCACAGAAGGGAAGGGAUAAAGUUGGUGAGGGUGGGUCCCACCAUAAUUGGUGAAUAAUUUGCCAUGUAUUUCUCUAAUAUCUACUAUCUAAAGAAAUAUUUUGUAUUUUUUUCUGAAAAGUUUGGCAUAUUUGUCUUUGAGAUAUGUAAUCUAUAAAAAUACCUAAGAUAUAUCACUAUAUCCAAUAAAUGACACUAUGUGUUAGCAUUUUCUCACUACAUUUUCAAAGGUGUUAACACACUAGAUUCUAAUGCAUAUGCAUUAUCAACAACAGCUAGUGACACUUGAUAAACCGCUUUUAACCAUAAUUUUCCUCUCUUUAUAGUACAGCUAUCUAGUCGACUAGUCCAAACCCAAUUAUAUCCUCUAUGGUAUCUUGAUUGGCGAAACAAGAAUGGCCCUAUCACAUACCUUUGCCUUAAGCUCAUUUUUAUUUUUCUCUUUCUUUUUUUCCAAGUUGGAGCACUUGAUCUUCACACUUGACCACCUCCAUCAUCUAUAGAUGCCAUAAUCUAGCUGGUGUGUACCAAUCCUAUUUCCUAUCUUAUAUACACCUAAAGCAAUGGUUAGUAGACUUAGAUCUCAUCAAUUAUCCGAAACUAAACUAGAACUUUCAUGUAGUGACACAACAUCUACUUUCUCUCACCCUUCCUCUUUCAUGGAAUGCAAGCAUUCAUACAUCAUUAGUAUGUUGUAUGUAAUGAGUCUCUCUAGCACAAACACCGACUGUUCUUCCGAAAUCACCUUUGGGAAAAAAUAAUCCACAGUCUGUUUGCCACCGUCUUAGAAGCAAUCUUAUAUAUCAUGUUACAUAGACUGAUGAUAGGCCAAAACAGCCCGCUCGACCAACUUCUCCACUUUUGUGAUCAAUACUAUUCAUGUGCUAUUUAUCACAGAAGGAUCAUCCUCGCCACAUAAGUCCUAGUGCCGCUAAAAAAAAUGAGCAGGAAAACCAUCUGGCCCCGGCGUUUUUGUCUUAAACAUGUGAGAAAGCUUAGUCCUGAUCUCCUCCUUUCGUAUACAAGGCGAGUGUCCUGACAACUACUUGCAUCACUCUUUUGAUGUUGCACUAUCGUUGUUAGCCUUAUCAUUAACUCCUUUCCUCUCUAAUCUCUAGAAUUAAGCAAAGAUUUGAAUGCUUUCUCAAUUUACCAUCAUAUAAUUAUUAUAUUAUAAUAUAAUCAAAUAAAUACACCUCUUUUUAUUCAUCCCGCAAAUAUAUCUAGUGGCAAUGAGUAUGGAAAGAGCUAAUACGAAAACUAUCAUAGUGGUGGCCAAAUACAUGAGAAAAUAUUCAGUGCAAACUAUAGAUUGGGUGCAAACAUAAACCCUUUAUAACAUAAUUAGAUGUUUUCUUAAAAAAAUGCCCACUUCGCCACUAAAGUUAAGAUACAAAGAAAUGGGGUGGGGGUGUGAUGCAAAGAUAUUGGAGAGUGAAUCUCUUCUUUCAAACCUCCCAAGAAACUAGUCACAAAGUAAACAUAAUCGUAGGAGCUAUUGUACAAUAGAAUUUGAUGCGCAGGCUGUUCAAGCUACUCAAAUUACUGUGACCGAACUAGUCUACUGAAGAUGAUUGUUUCAUACAUAACUCAUAUUGGUCACGAUUAAAAUAAUUACAAACCGCAUCACAAGAGCAGGCCAAGAUGUGAAACAACCACACAACUCUUUAAAUUGUAACCAAGUGGCAGCGGUCCUCCAGAACUCAAUGCAACAGAGCUAGGCUUCAAUGUCUCGCUGAUAGAGUACAUCUCAAAAUAGAUCUUACAGUGAUCCUUCCACAACCAUAAAUUGUCACCAUCAAAUUUGGGGAAAUAUGAUUUGGGCAUCGGACCAACUGGAGAUGUAUAAGAAUAUGAAUGUUCCAUCGGUCCACCUAUCAUUCCCUUGUACUUGCGUGCCCGUUAGUUAGCUAUUAUGUUCCUCUUUUUUAUUGGAUCCCAAACACCUCUGCUUCUAGACCAACUUCCAUCGUCGUCUACACAUAUCCCAUGGAGUUAGAGCAAGUUUAAUUAAUACAGUCCACUUGCUGACUGUAAGGUUCCUUACAGCCUUCUUUCAGCCCCACCCAUACAAUAGUUAGUUAUUCAUUAUUAAUACAUGACUCACUUAUCUCUCUUACAAAGUUUUCAGCUUACAACAUGCUUCUCUUCUCUCUCCUCCACCUCAGUAUUUAGCCAGCUUACAGCCCACUAUAAUACUUGCUCUUAUGACAAAUGCCUACUUCUCUCGCCUUUUUAGUGAACACUAUAACUCCUGGAGUCUUCAUAUUAUUCGAAAAAUAAAUUCAAAUUUCAACAAUGACACAUUCAGCAGAAUAAAAAGUCUCCAAAUUUCUAUUAAAAAAGAGCAAACAUUCCUUAUUCAGUCAAACUUGCAAAGGAUUUCAAAACAGAAGACCUCGUAUAACCAUGAGGGUGUAAGUAAUCUCACAAACAAAGCAUCACAAACCACUUAUAAUCUCAAGUCCAUACACGGUACACCACACACUGCAUAGAGCAACUUUAUUUUGUUUUGUAUGAAAAAAGAGGAAAACUCCAGGAAAGAAAAAAGAAAAUUAAACCCAAACUUCAGGAAGGGGAAUCGCAUCCCAAUCGACUGAUUUAGUUGUAGGCGUCGGGGUUGGCGACGAGGUAGGCCUCGGCACCCUUGAAAAUGGCGGUGACUGCCUCCUUGGCCUUGACUUCCUCGUCCUUCUCGUCUACGCCAGGCAGCAGCUUGUAGGUCGACUCCACCUUCACCACGCUGCCGCCGCCGGCCGCGGGCUCCACCUUGAUGUGCGACGCCGCGGUCUCGAUGGCAACACCGAUGCCGCCGCCCUCGACGAGCGUGUUCUUGCACUCGCACUUGUCCACGUCCAGGAAAUCGAGCCUCUCCUUCAUGAAGCUGAACGGCAUGACUGCAAGAACGAUCGCGCACGUCAUUCGCUAGCUAUUUGAUCGAUCGAUCGGGCGACAACAUGUUGGUCUGGGCGACUGGGCAUGCUGCGGACACUUACAUGAGGUGAAGUUGAACUGCCUGACGCUGCCAACGCCGCCGUCGCCCUCCACGGGGUGGGCGCUGGCGACGACGUGGGAGGCGACCUUGGGCGCCAGGGUGUGCCAGUCCAUCACGGCGGCGCGGAACAGGCGCGGCGCGGCCACCGGCGAUGGAAUCUCCAGGGUCCAGCUGCUGGCGGAGGCCAUUACUUCAGUGAUCGGCCGAUCGACUAAACUUGUGCUAGCUGAAGCUGGUUAGGUGCUCAGCUCUAUGGGUGGCAGCUACUGCUUGUGUUGCCAUGACACUGGCGGACUGAGGGCUUUAAAUAAUAGGCCGUUAUGGCGGGGGUUGGUGGCGUCCCGUGAGGAUGUGUAUGAGACGCCCGGGACGGAGUCGUCGUCGGCUCUUCCCACUUGGGUUGGCUUGGCACGGCACCGCGUGACUCAUCGGUCCAUUAGUCCAUUAUUUUAUCGAUAUCAAUAUGUAUGUUGCCGGGCUGCGGACAGCCGGACACACGUCACCAAACGGGCUGCCAUUCCGUCAACGUUCAACAUCUAGAAGGUGUGGAAUAUGUCGUCGAAUGGCACACCGUCGGGUCUGUUUGGAACGAAAGUGAGAGAAAAUACAGGAAAUAGAUAAGGAAUACAAUGGUCCUGUUUAAGUUAGAGGUUAGAGUUAUUCUCUAGUUUAUGACUAGCCCUCAAGUAACUCUAGCCAAAGAGAUGUUUGUAUGCAAGGGUUAGUGUUGAUGCAAAACUGAUCUGCAAACACAAAGGGCUAAUACCCGAUCCAAACGUUAAGGCGUGCCAGCCGAUUUAACCUUACUAUCGGCAAAGGUGAUAACUCGAAUACUUUAGUCCUGACAACAGCGAUGCGCCCGGAUGUCACGGCUAAGAGGUACUCACGCGGAACUUGAGAACACGCCGAGCUUAAGUCGACGAAUUCCUAAGAACUCGUAGUAAAAAGGAAAAAGUACGACGAAGUCGUCGAAAAAGUAGAUGCUGGAAUAUGAGUAAAAACGUGUGUUUGAUUGAUUGAUAGAUAGCUCAUUACAAGGCCCUAGGGUCUAUAUUUAUACCCUGCUCAAAGAGCUACAACCAGACACGAUUAGAAUUCGAAUUCCAAACUACACGGAAUCCGUAUACAAAACGAUGUAAAUAAUUAAAGAAAUAACAAAACUAUCCCCCGUGACAAACUGAAACUCCUCCAUACAACGACCGGCAGCUUCCGGACUCCCUCUUUGCAUCAUCGGCAGAUCUUUUGCCAUAGUCAUCGGCAGACUUUCUUAUCCAGUCAUCGGCACAAUCAUAUCACUGCCUGUAGACUUAGUCACGUUCAACUUCUCCUUCAUCGGCAACCAUCCUCAUCGGCAACUCACCCUGUAAACAUCGUACUGCCAUCUUAUCCUGCCAUCCUAGACACGUGCACAAAAACGGUGUCAACACAUGCCCCCCAGUUUCGGAGUAUAAAACUAUUAAUGCUCCGAAAUUCUCUGCAGUAAUGAUGCCUUUUCCCGCAAUUAAUGCUCCUAAUCUGGUAACCGACAACCUCAAUCUGAACAACUCUGAUCCUAUUCCUCCGCAGAUUCCUCGAAAUCCCCAACUUCCUAAACGGGCAUUUCUUCUCAGUCGUACGUCGGCAAUAAUACCGUUACAAAGAUUUGCCGAUGUUCUGACCAGGAUAUUCGCACAAAUGGUUACUUCCCCUCGAUCCGCCCAUCGGCAAUAUGACCGUUAUAGAAUGCUGCCGAUGGACCGACCAGGAGAUCUAGCACAGUAAAAUAUCUUCAGAUAAUGACCGCUUCCCGUCAAAUCACCUGCACAAUCCCUGGAUUAUCGUGCGAACAGUUACCAUAUCUUCCUGAGUACCCUCGGAUCUCUCGGAAGCGGCAAAGAGAAAAGUCAGAUUUGCCCUUGCCCAUUUCGUCCUAUAAAUAGUUCCUUCUCGGGUACUCCUUCCCUAUCACAUCAUUCCACCACCCAAGUUUACUUUUCCAGCGGCGGCGCCAUCCGAAGCUCCCAAGACCUCCAACAAGCAUUCUUCCUCAUCAACCCCGGUGUCUUCAAACACUUCCUUCGCAGCAAGAUGGCCGUCGGCUUCGUCGUUCCUGAGGUCAAAUCUCCACCCCGUCUCCUGUAUUUUUCUUCAUAUCCCUGUUCACUCGCAAUUCAUUUUACUGAAUAUCUCCCUUUUCUUUUCUCUUUGUAUUUCUUUUUAUCCCAAAAAUCACUAGGAAUUGUCCAAUAAAAUUGUCAUCCCCACUGAUCAACCACACCUCCAAUGUCUCGGUCCUCUAGGAGAUCCAGAUCCAACCGACCUUAUUAAUGCAGAAACCAACAGGAUCCCCUUUAGAACUGAAAAUUUUUCUUUAGAUCUGUGGAAAGAUACCUUCCGUUCUUGGCCUAGCCCUACCGUAGGGUGGAAAGACUGGUUCUUGAGAGUCAGCAAUUCUUAUGAAGUCCAGUGGGGCGAAAGGAAGCUAGCCCAAUGCAUUAGAUUGUCCAUUGCCGAUAUGCAUAGGAACGAGUCAUGCUGAUAGCUGCAUCCUACUUUUGGUCAGACACCCUCAAUGCUUUCGCCUUUGGCCACGGCCCUGCUUCUCCUACCCUUGCCGAUGUGGCCAUGCUUACUGGUCUAGAUAUAUCUUCUGCCGAUAGCACCUACUUUUUUGAUACUGCCCCUAGUGCCAAAGUGGAGACUCGCGCUAUCGGCGGUUGGUCAGGGUACAUUCAGAAGUACCGUGGGAAAGGAUCCGUCACCAUAAAGGAACAAACCACCUUUCUGAACAUGUGGCUGGACAAGUUUGUAUUCUGUGGUCGAUCGGCAGGACCAACUUCCGUUUAUCUAUCGGCAGCGGAGAGACUGGCUAACGGUGGCCAAUUUCCUCUCGGCCGAUACUUGCUUGGCGCUGUUUACCACCUUCUCCAUCAGGUAGCCCAGAAACUCCUGCUCGGCCAGUCCAUCGGCAACCUGGGAGGCCCCUGGUGGUUUAUUAAUAUGUGGCUCAAUCUGCACCUGCAUAAGCGCCUUGAUUUCAACUUGUUCACACAGCACUUCCCAAGAGAUAUAGCCGAAAACCAUGUGUUGGGUGAAGAGGAAUCGGCAACGCGUGCCCCCUUGAACUUUGGCGAAGCUGUCAUCGUUCUACCUGGUUCAGGGAGUAAUCCGGAUCAGAUCGGCCGAUUCUUCCAGGUUCUGUAUGAGGGUUUGGCCAGAGACGAACGACCAUGGUUGGCUUAUGAUGACCCAGAUAGCAUGCUCCCUCUGUCCUUCAAUCCAUUUGAUGAAGCUCUCGACAGGGACAAUGAGACGAUGAUGGCAAUUGUGACUCCCAGAAUCAUUCCAGUGAAUUUUUUUUGGUAGCACAAAAACCUCUCCUCAGACUUAUGAAUUUUACAAUCCAUCGGCAUUAGCUCGCCAGUUAGCUUUCGGCCAGUUGCCGAUUGCACUUCCUUAUGCCGAUGUGAUAAAACCCAGAGAAACCAUCAACAACCUCCUUGAGUGGAUUCGAGUAGCCCAACUACCACCAAACGCCGAUACAGAUGUAGAUCUGUCAGAAUGGGUUCCGGCUGCUUUUAUCACUCAGGCAUACAAGUUAUGGUGGGCAGAGUGGAAAGAGCAUCUAUUCUGCAGAUCGGCCCUUUCAUACCGCGGCAUGAUCGACUCCGAAUACGAAGUUCCCGAUGACACUGUAAGUAACUCAAACCGAUGUUCCAUUUUCUCAAUACUAUUUCCAUCGAUAGCUUACCCUUGUAUUCCUUUCGCAGGUUGACAACAUCCCCCCAUCGGUUAGCAGGAGCGGCAAGCCGAUCGACUUGUUUCCAUCAGGCCCGAUUUCCUCCAUCGGCCACAAUGCUCCUAUCCUGGCUUCCAUCGUGCAUCGGGGUGUGCGUCUCAGGAAAGUCACCACCAGGAGAACCCAGACAUCACCAACGGUAGCUGCUCCCACUCUGGCGCGGGCUUUCAAGGAAAUUUGUCAAAUCUUUUCCUUUAUGCUGACUAUCUUUAUAUCGGCUAUAUUUAUGCUUAUAAACUCUUGUUCGUUAUUGCAGCAAACCGGCGCAUCGGCGAAAGCCAGGCGUGAAAGUGCCGAUGCCCCCCAGUCUAGCCAACCAAAGAGAAAAGGCACCACAGGUGCUAAGACUGGAACAAAGCGCCAGAAGGUAGCAACUCCCCCUCCUCCUCCGGUGUCUCCAAUUCCGGUGGAGUCUUCUCCUUCUUCUCCAGAAGCCCAGCCACAGCAAGCACCGUCUCCCCAACCUAUGCAGGAAGCACCACAGAUAGAAGAACCCCAGCAGGAAGGAUCCCAAACAGAAGGUACAUCAGCUGAUGUGGGUGGACAAACAACUGGCCCGGAGGGUCCAAUUACACCAUCGGCGGUUCUCCCGAUUCAGACAACCGUUGUUCCACCUCCAGGUAACAUACUUUAACAAUACCGCUACCGAUGAACUUAUUCCCAUUUAGUCUCAUAACUCCUCUUAUCUUCUUUCAGCUGAUAUCGUUCCAUCGGCAACCUCAGCCGAUCAACCUGUAGUUCCAUCGGCAUCUUUGGCCGAUCAGCCUGCAGCUCCGUCAGCACUUCUCAGUCAAAGACAAGAGAUCGCCUUGAAGCAAGUAAGUCACCGUUUACCGUUAGCAUUAUUUGCCGAUUCUCUGAAUAUGAGCUAACUUUGCUUUCCCUCCCAGGAACAAGAUUCUCCCGACAGCCUGUUCUCCUUCGCCAUCGAUCUCUCUGAAGAAGAAGGUGAAGAAGCAAGCUCUUCUCAGGCAGUCGGCAUUACAUCGGCAGAGAUCAGGGUCAGGCUGGAAGAAUUGUCAGCUCUCCUUCAUCAGGACACAGCACAAUUGGUUGAUGACUCCGAUCCUACCAAGACCCUGUUCAGAACUCUCAGAGGCCAAAUCCCAGCCGAUGUCGAAGAAAUCCUAUUCCAAGCCGCUCAUCUGGAGAGUCGCCAGCUACAGUACCAGAGAGCUUCUCGGCGUCUUGCCGAUAGAGCCGCUCAGACUCAACUCUCCGAUGAAAUGAGGAAGGAGAAGCUCUUGACCGAUGAGAAGCACAAGAACAUCGGUAUCCUGAGAUCUUCUGGAGACGCGCUGAAGAAGAAAAUAUCCGAUCUGUCGGCAAGAAGAGAAUCCCUGUUGGCGGAGCUCAAGGAAGUGGAGAACGCCCUAUCCCAAGCCCAACAGGAAGAGAGCCAAUUGUCAGAGACCAUCAGGCUUCUUGAGCACGAGCGAAACGCUCAUGGUCGCAAGGCACUUCAACUGAAGAAGAAGCUGAAGCCGAUAGAAGGUUCUGCCGAUGAUGACAUCAAGAAAAUAGAAGCAGCCAACCAAAUUCGGCUACGCGCUAUAUCGGCAAUCCAGGCGUUGCUUAAUACAUAGAGUUUCCAUUGGAUUUAUAUCCGUGCUUUCCUGCUUCCUCAGCUUUUAGUCUAGCCGAUAGGACUGUUAUCGGCACCUAAACUUUUGAAACACCAAGUCUUGUCCCCAAACAUUUGGAUCCAGUCGAUAGGAGUGUUAUCGGCACUUAAACUUCUAUGCAUCGACCCAUAUACUGGGGUAGUACUUCUUUAAAUAUUUGCCGUUUAAUGCUCUGGGAAAUUCAACUCCUUCGAGGGUUUCUAGAAUGUAGGCAUUACCAGGAGCCGAUCGACUUAUCCGAUAAGGACCCUCCCAAUUAGGAGACCACUUUCCAAACUUCGAACCUUUAGUCCCAAUUGGUAGAAUUAAUUUCCACACCAAAUCCCCAUCGGCAAACUCUUUAGCCUUCACUUUCUUAUCAUACCAUCUAGCAACUCUCUUCUUAUUUUCUUCUAUACUCAUUAAAGCUUUUAACCGAUGCCCUGCUAGAUCAUCCAAUUCAUCGGUCAUUAAAGUGGCAUAAUCAUCGGCAGUUAAUUGAUCUUGAAAAGAUAAUCGCCUAGAUCCAGCCUUAAUUUCCCAAGGCAACACCGCAUCAUGUCCAUACACCAAUUGAUAGGGUGACACCUUGGUUGAUCCAUGACAAGCCAUCCGAUAAGACCACAAUGCUUCAUUUAAUAAUGUAUGCCACCGCUUAGGAUUUUCUUCAAUCUUUCGUUUAAUAAGCUUGAUAAUUCCUUUGUUAGACGCUUCGGCCUGCCCAUUGGCUUGAGCAUAAUAAGGAGAAGAAUUCAACACUUUAAUCCCCAUACCGACUGCGAAUUCAUCGAACUCCCCCGAUGUGAACAUGGUGCCCUGAUCGGUAGUAAUCGUUUGGGGAAUCCCAAAUCGGUAAAUAAUAUGCUCCUUCACAAAAUCAAUCAUAUUGGCCGAUGUGACUUUCUUCAAAGGAAUAGCUUCAACCCACUUAGUGAAAUAAUCAGUGGCAACUAGAAUAAACUUAUGCCCUUUGCUAGAUGGUGGAUAAAUCUGGCCGAUCAGAUCGAUGGCCCAUCCCCGGAACGGCCAAGGCUUUAUUAUAGGAUUCAUAGCCGAUGCGGGUGCUCUCUGGAUAUUACCAAACUUUUGACAACCUUGACAUCCCUUGAAAUAUUCAAAACAAUCCUCAAGUAUGGUCGGCCAAAAAUAUCCAUUCCUUCGAAUCAUCCACUUCAUCUUAAAAGCUGACUGAUGCGCUCCACACACUCCUUCAUGGAUUUCCCCCAUCAAACUUCUAGCUUCAUCAUCACCCAAGCAUUGGAGAAGAAUUCCGUCGAUAGUUCGAUAAUACAAUUCAUCUUCAAGAAGCACAUACUUGCUUGCUUGAAAUCGAACCUGUCUUUCAACUUUUUUGGAUGGAUCUUUUAGAUAAUCAAUAAUUUCUUUCCUCCAAUCAUCGGCACCGAUUGCCGAUAUUGCAUUAAUCAUUGGCUGAUAUCCCGAAGCAUGUUGAGCUAACCGAUUGGCGUCUUCAUUAUGCAAUCGAGGAACAUGCUCUAAUCGGAAAUCCUUGAAUUCCUUUAACAGUUGCAUACUUCUCUCGAAAUAAGUUAUGAGAACUUCACUUCGGCAUUCAUAGCUCCCGGCCAAUUGAUUUAUAACCAACAUAGAAUCCCCGAAGAUCUCAACAGCAUCAGCACGAACUUCUCUUAACAACUCCAAUCCCUUGAUCAGAGCCUGAUACUCAGCCUGGUUAUUUGUUGAUGUGGCAACAAUCGGCAAGGAAAACUCAUACUUCCUCCCCUUAGGGGAAACUAAUACAAUGUCGAUUCCUGCCCCCCGGUCACAGGUAGAUCCAUCAAAGAAGAGUGUCCAGGGUACAAUUUCCAAGGUUUCCACCAUACCGCAAUGCUGAGUCACAAAAUCGGCCAUAAUCUGCCCUUUGACUGCCUUGGCCGAUUCGUAACGCAAAUCGAACUCCGACAGCGCUAAAAUCCAUUUACCGAUCCUACCACUCAUAAUCGGCAUAGAUAGCAUGUACCGGACCACGUCAUCUUUGCAAACAACAGUGCAUUCGGCCGAUAACAGGUAAUGUCUCAGCUUGAUACAUGAAAAAUAUAAGCAUAGGCAUAGUUUCUCAAUGGCCGAAUACCUGGUUUCAGCAUCAAUCAACCUCCUACUCAAGUAGUAAAUUACCCUUUCUUUCCCUUCAAAUUCUUGAACUAAAGCUGAACCGAUAACCGAUCCAUCGGCAGACAAAUACAAUCUGAAGGGCUUUCCUUGUUGAGGUGGAACCAGAACUGGAGGAUUUACUAGAUAUUUCUUUAUUUCACCCAGAGCCAACUGCUGUUCUUUUCCCCAAAUAAAUUCUUGAUCGGCUUUCAAUUUAAGAAGAGGACUGAAAGCACGAAUCUGACCAGACAGAUUAGAUAUAAAUCUCCUGAUAAAGUUUACCUUGCCGAUCAAGGACUGGAGUUCGGUCUUGUUGGUAGGGGCCACUAUUUUAUUGAUGGCAUCAAUGGAUCUUCGACUAAUUUCAAUACCCCUUUGAUGUACCAUGAAACCAAGAAACUGCCCUGCCGAUACACCAAAUGCACACUUGUUGGGAUUCAUCUUCAAUCCAUGCUUCCUUGUGCACUCUAACACUUUCUGUAAAUCGGCAAGAUGCUUUGAGAAAUCUCCAGACUUGACCACCACAUCGUCAAUAUAAAUCUCCACGAGCUUGCCGAUGAACUCAUGAAAUAUAAAAUUCAUAGCCCUUUGAUAAGUAGCACCAGCAUUCUUCAACCCAAAGGUCAUGACUAUCCAUUCAAAUAACCCAACAUGACCAGGACACCUGAAUGCGGUUUUUGGAAUAUCCUCCUCUGCCAUGAAUAUUUAAUUGUAUCCUGCAUUACCAUCCAUAAAGCUGAUGACCCGAUGACCAGCUGCAGCAUCAACCAGCAGAUCGGCGACAGGCAUUGGGUAUCCAUCCAUCGGCGUAGCUUUGUUGAGAUUCCUGAAAUCAAUGCACACUCGAAGCUUCCCGUUCUUCUUGUAAACCGGAACAACAUUGGAAAUCCACUCGGCAUACCAACACUGCCGAAUAAACUUAGCUUCAAUAAGUUUGGUGAUUUCGGCCUUAAUAUCAGGUAGAAUGUUAGGAUUACACCGGCGAGCUGGUUGCUGAUGUGGCCGAAAUCCAGACUUGAUGGGUAACCGAUGCUCAACAAUUGACCGGUCUAAACCAGGCAUCCCAGUAUAAUCCCAAGCAAAGCAAUCUUUAUAUUCCUUUAACAAACUAGUCAAUUGUUGCUUACACUCAGGAUCUAAUUUGGCACUAAUAAAAGUAGGCCUAGGCUUAUCACCACUACCUAUAUCUACUUCUACCAAAUCAUCGGCCGAUGUGAAUCCCUGGCCUAAUUUUCCAUCAUCGGCGAAUCUAUCCAUUAAAAACCGUCGUCAGAACCAACUGCUUGGAUCGGUGGAAUCUCGUAAUCGGCAACUUUGAGAAAAUCUUUCUCCCAAACUUCCCCUGAAAUGCACCUGGUCCUUUCGUAAGUAUCCGCCUCUGCCGAUGCGAUAACAUAAGAAGAAUCUCCUGGGACAAUCUCAAUCUUGUCACCUACCCACUGAACCAAGCAUUGGUGCAUUGUAGAUGGGAUACAACAAUUGGCAUGAAUCCAAUCUCUUCCCAACAAUAAGUUGUAAGCACCUUUUCCACUGAUCACGAAGAAAGUUGUUGGCAAGGUUUUGCUGCCGAUGGUGAACUCCACACAUAUUGCCCCCUUGACUGGAGACACGUUUCCUUCAAAGUCUUUGAGCAUCAUAUCGGUCUUGGUCAAAUCAUGAUCCCCUUUCCCAAGCUUCCGAUAUACUGCAUACGGCAUAAUAUUAAUAGCAGCUCCACCA
rnacentral:lncRNA from 1 species